AAGUCACCAUUAAGUUCUAGAGGCAAAAAUAAAGGGGUUUGUGUUCAAGACAUUUGUAAAAUAAUAAAAAUGAAAGGGUUAAAAAAUAAAAUCAAAAGUAUAAUAAAUGGGGAAAAUAAAUAAAUAAAAUAACACAAGUAUGAAAAAUAAUGAGAGUUUGCACACGCAGGGGGUUGAACCCCUGACCUUGGGGUCAUGAGGGGAUCAACCCCAU
rnacentral:lncRNA from 1 species